rnacentral:tRNA from 1 species
GGUGAGAUGGCCGAGCGGUCUAAGGCGCCAGACUAAGGACCAACAUGCAGAGCGUGUACCUCAAUCUGGUCAUUCGUGGCGUGGGUUCGAAUCCCACUCUCAUCA